GACGUAGGGUCCAAGCGUUGUCCGGAUUUACUGGGCGUAAAGAGCGCGUAGGCGGUCUGUUAAGUGUAGAGUGAAAUCUCCAGGGCUCAACCCGGAAACUGCUCUGCAUACUGGCAGACUGGAGUGAUGCAGAGGUUUGUGGAAUUCCUGGUGUAACGGUGAAAUGUGUUGAUAUCAGGAGGAACACCCAUGGCGAAGGCAGAAAACUGGGCAGUAACUGACGCUGAGGCGCGAAAGCGUGGGUAGCAAACAGG
rnacentral:rRNA from 1 species